ACAGAAAUGAAGUUUUUAAGCGGUUCUCUGAGUGCCACUGCAAGUUUGAUGAUGGUGAAAGUGCCACACUAUGUUUUCUACCACCUGCAAUCACAUUCAACUGUCUAAAGUUUCACAGAGUGGGAUUAAUGGACCUGGAUCAUGCAGUUAUGCAGCCACUUCUACAUACAGACAGAAAGCAGUAUUUUGUUCACUUUCCCAACAGAAGAAGGGCGAUGCUGCAAACGGUAGUCAAAGUCUGUAAAUGGCCCAACAAUCCUUCACAACCAAUAUGCACCUUUUUGAAGUGGGUCCAUUCCAGACUCCCAAGCAGAUGGAAUUCCGCAGGCUGAAUCCAGUCAUUACAAAGCAAUAUUUCAACCAUCAAAAAUGGAUGGAAGGAUGUCAUUCUCAGGAGUAAAUGGAUCAAUUCAAGCCCAGCUUUAAAAAACACUCACCCUGCUGCACCUCCUUUCACCCAAUAGGGAGGCAGCCAAGGCAGACAGCAUUUCAAUGAGUUCUGCAAAACACAAUGCAAGCUGUAUGAACAGUCUGUUCAACAUGUUUGUAGAAGGUCAAAUAAAA